rnacentral:rRNA from 1 species
AAUGAACGCUGGCGGCGUGCUUAACACAUGCAAGUCGAACGAGAACGGAAUAUAGCUUGCUAUAUUUGUCAGCUAAGUGGCGCACGGGUGAGUAAUGUAUAGAUAACCUGCCCUUAAGAAAGGAAUAACAGUUGGAAACGACUGCUAAUGCCCUAUAUGCCUUUAAUACAUAAGUAUGCAAGGGAAACGCUUUAGUGCUUAAGGAUGGGUCUGUAUGGUAUCAGCUUGUUGGUGAGGUAAUGGCUCACCAAGGCUAUGACGCCUAACUGGUUUGAGAGGAUGAUCAGUCACACUGGAACUGAGACACGGUCCAGACUCCUACGGGAGGCAGCAGUGGGGAAUAUUGCACAAUGGACGAAAGUCUGAUGCAGCAACGCCGCGUGGGGGAUGACACAUUUCGGUGCGUAAACUCCUUUUAUAUAGGAAGAUAAUGACGGUACUAUAUGAAUAAGCACCGGCUAACUCCGUGCCAGCCGCCGCAGUAA